AUGGUGUUGCUUGACAUCAAGGGUAUGUUGCAGUCCAUGGGUAAAGACAUAGUGAUUUUUUCGCUUCCAAGCAUCGAUGAUGCCUUUGACCCAACUGAGGGAGAGGCGAGAGAGGUCAUUGAGGAAUCAACCAUCGAGUUUGACGUAGACGACACAAAAUUGGCAUCUUCACUAAACUUUGAGCAGAAGGUGGCAUACGACGAGAUACUAGCGGCUGUUACUCGGUCUUGGGGGGUAUUCUUUGUUGAUGGCCCUGGAGGUACAGGGAAUACCUUCCUCUAUAGGGAGUUGCUCGCCAAGUUGAGGAGCGAGGGCAAGAUUGCUAUCGCCACCGCAACCUCAGGUGUCGCCGCUUCUAUCAUGCCUGGCGGCAGGACUGCUCACUCUAGGUUCAAGAUACCAUUGAGUUGUGACGACAGAGCCUCGUGCAGCUUCACCAAGCAGAGUGGGACCGCAAAGCUACUAAGGAUGGCAUCGUUGAUACUAUGGGAUGAGGCCAGCAUGACUAAACGACAGGCGGUUGAGGAAUUGGACAAUAGCAUGCGUGACAUCAUGGGAACACGUGACAUACCCUUUGGAGGAAAGACUGUUGUCUUUGGCGGUGACUUUAGGCAGGUGCUUCCAGUUAUCAGAAGGGGGGUCGCGUGGCCAGAUAAUUGA
rnacentral:rRNA from 1 species